AAAUGACACCAAAAUAUGCUAGAAACUCGAAGUGUAACAGGCCUCACCACUAAAGAAAAGCUAGACUAAAAAAUCUCGAUCCAAAAAGAAGACCCAGAUGUUGUCUAGUUAUGGGUACCCAUGGGGUACACAUGUGUCACAAUGCACGUACGAGAUACUUUGGCCCCAUGUCUGCUGGUAUUUUGAGGACCCAUAAUGAACAAAUCCAAGCAACCAUAUACCCUGCAAGAAAAUAGAAGGUACGCAAAUUCCUCGACACGUGGACACAGAUUCCCACGUAUAAAUGAGAUCACCCACAC
rnacentral:lncRNA from 1 species